GAACUUUAUGGAUGGGUAGAUUUUCUGAUUUUUGGUCAGAAAAAGUCUUAGGUUCUAAUUUAGUUGAAUUUCU
rnacentral:tRNA from 1 species